CGCGCCGUCGCUCACUCGAACGCUGGGUACAAAAUGCGUCUCUGGAUUUGGAAGGCUUAUGCGGUAUGAUUUUUGGAGUUCUGUAACAACUUCGUUUGGUUUGACAGUUCUCUGGAGGUGUUCCGGGCUAAGUUCACAGGAACUUGGUGCAAACGGCCAUCUGAGACGGGGGUCGUCGAUAGCCCUGCCAGAUCAAUGGCAUCGCAGGGGAAGACGAAAGCCACUUCUCCCACUUCAGCUGUUCUGCCGCUCCGUGGUUGUUGGCAGACGGGCUGAACAAGAGGAUUUGGAUAAUUUUGAGUUUAAUAUCAGAAACGAUGCCCAGCUUAACCUUAUGACCUCUCUCUCCUUCCCCUUCUCCCUCGAAGCUGCCAGCGUUUCUUUAUGCUCAUUCUGGUCCCGUUGGUGGCCCGGGCAGUUGCAGCUUUGCGCUGAUGCAACUGGUGGUGCUGGAGGUGGAAUUACUCUGGGUUAUCCUCAAAAAAAUUACGGACUAGAGCCUGGAGCCUCCAAGUGCAUUUGCAGGCUGACAGUCGUAUAAAUAAGCAGAAACAGGCCCGAAUCAAAUGAUCAGCAACGUGAAGAACAAGACGCUCCCAAAGUCAGCGUGCUGGGCUACGGCCUGUUCUGGAGAAAGUUUUGUAGGCUUAGUUCAAAUCUUGGCUGUGGAUUUGUACCUUGGAUCAAAGUUUUGUUGCAGGCCCUUCUCCAAUAUAAAGCAAAGAAACGUAGAACAACAAAUAUCUAGUGAAAUCCAAACACAAUCUGCUCUAUGUUAUGCUACAAAAAUGAAUGAACUCUGCCUCCCACCCUCUCCCACUGUGACUUGCUGUGAAUAAGCACUGCUCAAAGGAAACGAUUGCAAGAAGUUCUGCCUCUUUCCAGCAGGAAUAACAAUUGAGCAAGAAAAAAAGCGCUGACUAGUUUUAUCUCUGCUCUUCCAGUUGGGCAGGUACAGGUGAAGAGCAGCAUUGAAAGGACUCGCCCUUAGCACAGAACUAAAGCCCAAGUAUUCAAUUAUAAGGCUUUAAAAAUGUUUUUCCAUUAAGCUAAGAAGAACUCUUUUCUGAUCUGAGACUUUCUUACGCCCUCAGAAGCAGCAUGGUGGUUCCACCAUGGCUUUUGAAGGACAGAGGAAUAUCUAGGGAAAUCAGGCAGACUAGGCUAAACCCGUACAUUUCUUAUUUACGAAUCUUCGAGCCACUGGGUUACAAGUCACGACGUAGCCGGUGGGUCGCAAGGGAAGGCUCCGCAGAGUGAUUCCUGAGGGGCAGACUCUGGAUUGCACUGUUGGCAAACCAGGAGUCGAGCCUGUGCUCCAAAUCACUCCGGGUUUUUUCCACUUUAAGCCUUAGUUCAAGAGCUUGUAGAAGCUGUUGGUUCCUCCCCAUGUUCUGGUGAGCGUAAAUGUGCUCCUGCUCCUGCUGGCGACGAGAGAUCCCUGCGUCCCGCACAGUCCAGGAGCGAGCAGAGGUCCUGGGUUUCUCGUCCUGUCAAGAUUUAGGAGGUUUUACCAUAAGGGCUUUGUGAGUGGGCUGGCAAAUACCAGUUGGGUGUCAGGUGGGAGAUCUCGCUUGUGCAUUAGAAAUAGACUGUUAAGAGGUGACAUAAUACCCAAAUCCAGAUGCAGUUUUAUAUUUUCAAGAAGCUCUUCCUUAAAGCUCCGUAGUGCUGCGUUCCAGGCUGCGUAUCGGCCGCUGCCGCCGUCUGGCCAAGGAGAUGCCACAAAGCUACGCAGACAGCAAGAGUGUGAAGAGCCUUCGGUGUAAAAGUUGGAUAAAAGGUCUGGGGGACAUAAGGAGGUCUGUUUAGAAAUGCCAAUCUUAUAAACAAAUGAAAUCUGCUUUUUAAUCUUCAAACAUAAAAAGCCAGUCUAUACGUGGAAAAGGAAUGUUUAAAACUGACCACAGAAAAUAUUACAGUGUAAAAUUCCACCUUUUCACCGCAUUUGCUUGGAAAAGGACCCGCGAGUCGAGCAGCGCCCCGCGGCGGAGGUAGGAACCCUUUGCGAACACUGCGGAGCCCUCGAAGCUCCGGCCACCUCUAAUUGCUCCCAGGCCAAGAGCGAGCGCAUGGCUCCAGAACGAGUGUUUAUUUUCUUGCUGGCUUAUUUAUUAAAACAAAAGCACAAGACAGAGCGCUUCUACGUGUUGUGAACUCUACAAUUGUUAAAGUUUCCAAGAGGUCACAAGGGUCCCAGAUAACAUUAGCAGCUAAGUGCGAUGUUGUCCUUCUGCGUUAUCAACAGGAAACAUCUUUACCAGCACAGGAACUACAGCUUUGUAAUUGGCCUGGUGCAAGAACAUGACAGUAUUUUCUCAUCCUAUCAGGACUCGGAUAUUUUGGGAGCUGGUAUAUAAAGCUCGCAGCACACAGUGUCUUUUGGACAUUAGGAACAGGUUCAUGGCAGAAAUCAGUGUGCUUUGCUAUUUUAGUAGUUGCUAUAGUUGCAGCAUGAAUGAUUUUUCUUGCCCUGCAUGCUUCAGGGUGGUAUUGCGUUACAGUUCGUACGUAUAUUUUUAUUAUUUGAGUGCAGAUGGACAUAUUUAAAGUAAUGAACGUGGUGAUACAAGCCUUGUAAAGAAGCCUUUAGCAAAUAAACAACGAAUCCAUAAAUCAUAUCAAUGCAGGCCUUGUUUAGCUUUCAUUAAAUACUCGCAGACUUCUAUGGUGCGGGAUUGAGCUCUCUCCAAGCAAAUUUCAGAUUCACUAGAUGAUAAAAUGUUAUAUUUGGGCUCUGAAAUAAGAAGCGUUCCAUGCACUGAAUGAUCUAUGUGUUGAAAGGAGCAGCCCUUCUGUCUCACGGCAAAAAGUCCAGCAACGGCUAUAACGAGUAUUAGAUCAGAGCAAAUAGCGUUUAAAUGGAGCUGUAAAGAGCUGAGCUGGAAGGGGGCCAAUAUUGC